rnacentral:lncRNA from 1 species
UUUGCACUCACUGAAACUUUACUUUAGUAGGUAAGAAUCUAUAGUUUAAAAAAAAAUUCACAUAUGAGGCCUGUGAAGCAAAUAAAGCAAUAAUGUGGUGGUUUUCAUGGACAUUAUGUCUUUCACUACCCGUCCCUCUUUUUGUUGUAAACUCUCUAAGGCAAGUAUAACCUCAUCUAUACAUUAGUAUUUAUUUACCACAAGGACCCAUAAGUAUUUAUUGAUAUAUCUUCCUAAGUAUGUGAUAAUAUUCUAAAUAGAUAGUAGAUUUAAUCAUUGGGAUUUAUGUGAAGUUGGAUUAAAUAGAUAACAUGAUAAUUACAUUUAGUAUUGCAUGGAAGGACACAUUUUCUCACUUAUAGAAGCCUAAACAAAUGUCACAAUGUUGAUAGAUUCCUUUAUAGGAUGUUAACUCUGAAGCUGUCGUGAAAAUGUGUGAACUAGUUUCACUUUCAACUUGAUCCUUUUGGAAUCAUGACAGAUUUUGCUAGCCCUUAAUUCUUCUGCAAUCUUUGUUGAUCCCUCCUAUUUCAAUCUCAUAAGACACUUAUCUCUCCUCCAGAAAGAUCUGAAGGGUUAAGUCACCUAUUUAUACCUAAUUACAGUGAGCCCUGUGUUGGAUUUUUAAGGGAUAAAAGGAAGUAUCAGAUCUCAGUUAACUUAUGUACUGUCUACAGUGCCUAACAAUGACACAGGAUGACUCAGUUAAGGAGAAAAAUACUCCAUUUAUCAGCACAGAAUUCUUCCCUUUAAGCUAUCAUAUGGUAGCUAACCUUGCCUAACCUUGCGAGUUUAACCUUGCUUUUUACGUGCAUGCACGCGUGUGUGUGUGUGUGUGUGUGUGUGUUACUAAUUUCUAACUGUACCAGCUCCUGAAUUAAUAUUUGGCAACAUCAAUAUUCCUUGUAUAAUGAAGAAGCAUGGUCCAAGAGACUUGGAUGUGACCUCUCUAAACAUCAACUUACAGCUGCAAAAUAAGGAAUAAGUUGUAAUUAUUCCUUAUUUGUAACAACUACCUUACAGUGUUGUUUUGAAGAUUAGAAGAGAAUAUAUAGAUGAAGUACCCAGUGGACACCCAGAGUGUCAGCCUCAGUGCUUCAACUUGAGCUUUCAGGAUCUAUUUAAAGAUGGAAAAUAUAGUUACAUUAUGUCACCAUUUGAGAUGCAGAAAGACAGGGCCACCAUUUUGCACAAUUCUGAAAGCACAAUUCAUGCUGUGGUUUGUAAAAAUGGUACUCCCUAGAGUUGGGCAAUGGACAGCUCACACAGAGAUGCAGUGGCCCUGCUAAACUAAUGCCUUACAUAAAAGAGUUUUACUCUUCAUUCCCUUAAAUGAUUCUUAGUAACACUGGCUGACACACACACAAAACAGUUUCUAAGUAGGUCUGUCCGCAUACUAUGAUCACUGGUCAACAUUAAGUUUCCACAAUUAAUUUUACAUAAUCCAAAGACUGCCAAGCAGUUUAUCUGGGUAAACUAAACAUUCUGUAGUCAUUUAUUCUGCUUCCAGUCAUGCCCAGCAACAGGUUGAGAAGACAAAUGUUCUCAGAAAUGAUCUCCAAGGAGUUGGGAGCAGGCUGCUUAUACGUCUAAUUCACCAGAAUAGGUGAGCGUGGUCGUGGUGACCUUUUCAUACUGUUGCAGAGCUGAGUAUGAAGAGAUGACUCACAGUCCUCCAAUGCAACACAGGUGACCCUGCAGCCAGAUUUUGCCUUCAGUGGUAUGUGACUCCCAUGGGGUCAGGAGAGUAUCUCAGACAUUGAAAUUUGACCUAAUGGCCUACCUACCUGCACACGCACCCUGCCCACUUACAGAAGGGCAAGAACUCUGCAUUACUGAGGCCUUGUUAUUAUUAUAGUUCCUAUUUAGGUAAGAACGCAAUGGAGAAAAAAUGCAUUUGGUUAUUGGGCCUCUGUUUGAAUAUCCUGUGCUUUUUGCCAAACAAUGCAUUCUACAUAAUCUUAAAAAACAAAGUCCAUUUCAAAGAACAAAAAUAAUGACCAUAUCCACUGAGCAAUUGAGCAGAAUGGGAAUCGGAGUUUUAAACUCUGAUAUAUCUGUUUUCCUUAGGGCUGAAAUCUUCUUUUCAUGGUUCUAGUUUCUCUAAUUGAAAUAAGAACCUAACCCUGUUCAAAACUACAUCUCUGGGAAUGAGUGAAAAAUUAAUGAUCCUCCUAUUUUGUUGGAUCAUAAUAAUGACUCUCAUCCUGGUGGGGCCACCAGCAAUGCUAUUCUUCUCAGACUCUAUCUUAGUUCCUAAGCCACUCACCAGGUAUUUAAAAGAAUGAUUUAACACAACUAGAAUCAUUUAAAUAACUGUAUUUUUUAAGAAAGCCAUAUUAUUGCUUUAGUUUGGUCAUUCAUAUAUCCAAACCUUGGACUCAUCAUCUUGCAAUCUCAUGUGUUCAGUUAUUCCAGAGAAAACAUUAAGGAGAAUUGUAUUCUUCUUCCCAGCUAAAUUUUAGGUCCUCAAAGCUGGCAACCACAAUUUAUGCUUUCUAAAAAUCAUCUAUGAUACUAAGUAUGAGCUGGAUCAUGAAUAAAACCCUUGUAACAAUAAAUGCUUGAUGACUUACUUCAUCUCAUUAGCAAGGGAAGGUAACUCAUAAUUAUCAAGGUACUACAGGAAAUAGGGCACUAUCUGGAAAUGCUAAAUACAUCUCCUUGCAUGAAUCACUUCUUACCAGAAUUCCCUUUCUUUCCAGAUCCCACCUCCAGGGUUCUGUGGUCCAUACCAGGCACUACAUUCCUCAGGGGCUACAGCCUAUGAGCGUCUCAUGGGGCUAUGAAACCAUUUGAGACCUGGAAAAUGAAGUAAUUGAAUACAAACAGAAAACUGCAAAAUGAGGACUAACAUUUAAUUAAAUGUUCAAAGCAUAAGAUUAUGUCGACUUCAAUAAUUGUCAAAUGAGUAUUCUUAACAUUUUACUAAAUUAAAAAAACUUAUGUGCUGAG